rnacentral:tRNA from 1 species
AAGAAGCUAGUUAAUAAAUAACAUAGGAUUGUCAAUUCUAAGUAACUUAAUAAAGUGUUUCUUA